rnacentral:RNase_P_RNA from 1 species
GGAGUCGGCUAGGUGGCCGCCUUUUCGAUUUAUCGAAAGGGAGGAAAGUCCGAGCACCGCAGGACAGGGUGCCUCGUAACGCGAGGGGUCCGUGAGGGCAUGGAAAGUGCAGCAGAGAGCAGACUAUCCCGAAUCUUCGGGAUACAGGUGAAACGGUGGUGUAAAAGACCACCAGCCGCGGCAGCAAUGCCGCGGGCUAGGUAAACCCUACCCGGUGCAAGAUCAAGUAAGCUCCGAAAUGUGGUCCGCAUUGCUCGAGGAGCGGGUAGAUCGCGCGAACCUAUCGGUGACGGUAGGUCCAGAUGAAUGGCCAUCCACGACAGAACUCGGCUUAUCGGCCGACUCCACUU